GUCGAACGGUAAUUUCGAGCAAUCGAGAACGAGUGGCGAACGGGUGAGUAACACGUAUGCAACUUACCCUUAACUGGGGCAUAGCUCCGAGAAAUCGGAAUUAAUUCCCCAUAACAUUUUAAACAGGCAUCUGUUUGAUCUUAAAGCUUCGGCGGUUAAGGAUGGGCAUGCGGUUCAUUAGCUAGUUGGUGAUGGUAAAGGCUCACCAAGGCUUCGAUGAAUAGCUGGUCUGAGAGGAUGAUCAGCCACACUGGCACUGAGAUACGGGCCAGACUCCUACGGGAGGCAGCAGUAGGGAAUAUUGGGCAAUGGGCGCAAGCCUGACCCAGCCAUGCCGCGUGCAGGAUUGAAGGCUCUACGAGUUGUAAACUGCUUUUAUUCGGGACGAAAAACCUCGAUUCUUCGAGGACUGACGGUACCGAUUGAAUAAGGACCGGCUAACUCCGUGCCAGCAGCCGCGGUAAUACGGAGGGUCCAAGCGUUAUCCGGAUUUACUGGGUUUAAAGGGUGCGUAGGUGGUCAGAUCAGUCAGUAGUGAAAUCCUACAGCUCAACUGUAGAACUGCCAUUGAAACUUUCUGACUUGAGUAUAGUUGAGGCGGGUGGAAUGUAUCAUGUAGCGGUGAAAUGCUUAGGUAUGAUACAGAACACCGAUUGUGAAGGCAGCUCGCUAAACUAUUACUGACACUGAGGCACGAAAGCGUGGGUAUCGAACAGGAUUAGAUACCCUGGUAGUACACGCCCUAAACUAUGAACACUAGACGUGUGCCGCUUAGCGGUACGUGUCCAAGCGAAAGCGUUAAGUGUUCCACCUGGGGAGUACGGCCGCAAGGUUAAAACUCAAAGGAAUUGACGGGGGCCCGCACAAGCGGAGGAGUAUGUGGUUUAAUUCGAUGAUACGCGAGGAACUUACUGGACUAGAAUGCGCAUGACGAUCCGGGGAACCGGGUUUCCUUCGGGCAUAAGCAGGUGCUGCAUGGCUGUCGUCAGCUCGUGCCGUGA
rnacentral:rRNA from 1 species